AGUUAAACGUUUCAGCGCUAAAAGCGUCUCGGACUUCAACAGCAGUAAGUGGUACCGAGUGUGCUGACAGGAUGCUGCUCGCAAAGGUGGUUGCUUCGGUGCGCACACCCUGCCGAUGUUAAGCACUACCUAGCGAAGCGGUGCAGUGGCACACAUUUGACAAGGAAGCACAGCAUGCCUGGAAAGCUUGUUGCGGGGAAGAUCGCCAAUGUGAUGAAGUUAUCCUGUAAUAAUGAUAAAUAUAGCACAUGCCUCCCUUCAAA
rnacentral:lncRNA from 1 species